rnacentral:rRNA from 1 species
AUUGAACGCUGGCGGCAGGCCUAACACAUGCAAGUCGAGCGAGCGGCGGACGGGUGAGUAAUGUAUGGGGACUGCCCGGUAGAGGGGGAUAACUGCUGGAAACGGUAGCUAAUACCGCAUACUAUCGGAUGACCCAUAUGGGAUUAGCUAGUAGGUGAGGUAAGGGCUCACCUAGGCGACGAUCCCUAGCGGGUCUGAGAGGAUGGUCAGCCACACUGCGACUGAGACAAGGCCCAGACUCCUACGGAGGCAGCAGUAGGGAAUAUUGCACUGUGGGCGCAAGCCUGGUCCGGCCAUCCCGCGUAGAUGAUGAAGGCCUUCGUGUUGUAAAGUACAUUUUGCAGAGAAGCUGUAUCUGCAGAAUAAGCACCGGCUAACUACGUGCCAGCAGCCGCGGUAAUUC